CUCAGAUGUUAAUAAUAAGAUUCCACUAUUUAUAUUUUCCGAGUUUUUUGUCGGAGAUUUAAGAAGUCCUGUUUGACCCAGGCUACAGAAAGGGAGAGAAGAGCGCGGCAGUGUGUGCGAAUGUCCAGUCUAUUCAGCUCGUGUCAGAGCAUUUGUGUUACCUUGGAAGCUUAUUGAAAUCUGCAUGACACUCACUGAAGUUUCUAGGUCUCAGCUCCUCCACCUGAACCAUGUUUUCAUCGUUUUAUA